UACAGAGGGUGCGAGCGUUAAUCGGAAUUACUGGGCGUAAAGGGCGCGUAGGCGGUUUAAUGAGUGUGAUGUGAAAGCCCCGGGCUUAACCUGGGAAGUGCAUUGCAAACGAUUAAGCUGGAGUAUUGGAGAGGGUGGCGGAAUUUCCGGUGGUAGCGGUGAAAUGCGUAGAGAUCGGAAGGAACGUCGAUGGCGAAGGCAGCCACCUGGCCAAAUACUGACGCUGAGGCGCGAAAGCGUGGGGAGCGAACAGG
rnacentral:rRNA from 1 species